rnacentral:lncRNA from 1 species
UGGGCACAGAUUUUGUGUAACCAAUAAUGAAAACAUGGAGAAGAGUUUUAGAAGAGUGUGAUUCUGCCUACCUCAGGGUUGUGUUACUAAAGGUCACUGCACUCUGGCAGUUACAUUUUAUUGAUAGCCUCUGUUAUUUGCUUGGUUCAAUGAAGAAGGUAGAGAAGUGUGUGGUGUACAACAGAUCAGCAUUAGAGGGAACUGGGGCAGAGGAGAAUGGCAGGAGCAGUCGGCAUCAGGAACAGCAGGCUGUGCCAGCAGAUUGGCUCAGGGGCAGCCCCGGACCAUCCAGACUGUUGCAGAUGGAGGGAGCAUUCAGGAGAGUGGGAAGAGUCAGGAUCCAGGAUGAUUGAACUCAAGGCCUCACACAAUUACUCUACCAGUGAGUUACAUCUCCAGACCUUUUUAAUUUUGUGACAGGAUCUCUCUAAAUGGCCUUGAUUUUGCAAUCCUCUUGCAUCAGCCUCCUGAGUAGGUGGGAUUAUAGACGUGUGCCUCCCCCACCACACCUGACCUAAUUCUAACCAUUCAUCUAAAAGAUGAGAAUGGAACACUCUUCCCACCCACUUCCAAUAACAGCAAACUCUGAGCUGGAAAUUAGAAAACACUGAUCUCCUACUCAUGGAACCCCUUUCCGUGGUGAAAAAGCCUUAUGUGUUGCUAUGUGUUCUGAUUUUAGGGCAAAUAAAUAAUCAUAUUACACUCCUCUCUAAAAGUGCUUUUUUCUCUUACCUACUUUGCUCAUUUAUUUAUUCUUUUCAACAGAUAUUUAAGAGUGUUAGGAGACAGGCACAGUUCCAAGUGCUGGGGCCAUUAACUACCCUGGUAGCCCCAGGACUGACUCAAUUUCCCCAGUGAAAGUCCUGUAUCCCAGGAAAGCUCUCUGUCUUGGGCCCACAUUGGUCAUCCCAGACCCUAAACAUCAGUGAGAUUAUUGCACCCAGGGUGAGCAUUGCUGCACCUCUGGGAUGAGCAGCUAACCAGGGUCAUAAACUCAGCACCAAUGAAGAACUAGAGGGAUGGAGAUUAAGAAAAGGAAGACAUUUUAUUGGUAAGGAAGAAAAAAUAGAAGCUAGAAAGCUGCCUCAGAAAGGGGGCAGGAGGUUCCGGAAAGAUGGAUACCCAUAGGCCCUUUGUUCCUGACUUUUUUUUUUUAUUGGGUGCUAGGGACCCUCCCCCUUACCUGGAACUUGUCAUGACCUGAUUGGCUUACUGGGCUGUCCUUGGAUUAAACCAGGCACACUUGCCUAUGUCUACAUUGCUUAUAGUGAGCUUUGUAUGACUUCUUUCUUCCUGUUUGUCCUUGUCAGGGUCUUAUCUUCAGGAUAAGCAGUUGGUUGGGGAUGUGUGAAUAUCUAUUGAGGUACUGUAAUGACCCUACAUAUAUUGCAUAGAUGUGAGUGUAUAUUUUUAUACACUGAAAAAGAGCCUUCCCCAAAGUCAGUCAGCCCCCUCCAUCCUCUGUCUGCCCUGCAUUCUAUUGGUGGUGGGGAAGGACGGCUAUCUUGGCUUCUUGGCUUUGUACACUUGGCUCUCUCUAAGCUCUGCCUGUUAGUUUUCCCUCUGGUGAGUCCCAAUGCCACCUGUGCUAUCUUGUACCAUUUUUGUCUGGGUUUCUUUUCUCUCUCCACCCUUGUCCUUGAAACUGUUCCCAGGGGAAUUUCUCUAGUAAAGUUUUAAUUCCUAGUCAAGAUUAGCCAGAAAACCUAAUGAGGCCCUUAUCCUCUUCUUUCUCUGCCUACAGGCCCUAUAAGAUGAGUUAACAUUUCACAUAGGGAGGACCCAGGAAGCUCUUCCUACAAAGAUUACUUUCAAGAAAGACUUCCUGACACUGGAAGGCUUUAAUCAGGGCAUGGAUUGGUUCAUUUUGGCUAAUGUUUUAAGAAUAAGCCACUCAAAAAACAAAUCAACAACAACAAAACCAAAAAAAGAGCCUGACAAAUAAUCAUUCAUCUUUUUAGGGGUGGGGAUUUAGCUCAGUGUUUCCACCACCUGCCUCAUAAGCGCAAG